rnacentral:rRNA from 1 species
CCCUUAGAUGUCCGGGGCUGCACGCGCGCUACACUGAAGGAAUCAGCGUGCUAAAACCAUUGUCGAAAGGCAUUGGUAAACCCAUUAAAAUCCUACGUGAUUGGGAUCGGGAAUUGCAAUUAUUUCCCUUGAACGAGGAAUUCCCAGUAAGUGUGGGUCAUAAGCUCGCGUUGAUUACGUCCCUGCCCUUUGUACACACCGCCCGUCGCUGCCCGGGACUGAGCCGUUUCGAGAAAAGCGGGGACUGCUGCUGUCGGGGCUUUCGGGCCUUGGCUUCGGUGGAAACCGCUUUAAUCGCAGUGGCUCGAACCGGGCAAAAGUCGUAACA